rnacentral:rRNA from 1 species
UACGAAGGGGGCUAGCGUUGCUCGGAUUGACUGGGCGUAAAGGGCGCGUAGGCGGUUUGCAUAGUCAGACGUGAAAUUCCUGGGCUUAACCUGGGGGCUGCGUUUGAUACAUGCAGGCUUGAGUUCGGAAGAGGGUCGUGGAAUUCCCAGUGUAGAGGUGAAAUUCGUAGAUAUCUGGAGGAACACCGGCGGCGAAGGCGGCAUCCUGGACCGGCAUUGACGCUGAGGAGCGAAAGCCAGGGGAGCAAACGGG